UUCCCCCUCCUCCAGCCUGAGGAAGCCUAGCAGGGGUAGGGUGAUCCAAUGGGAGGCUGGGAAGAAGAGAGGAGCUCCUUUACCAGUAGGGAUGGCCAGAGCUCCCUGCUCCUGCUCCACUCCAGCAGCCCCCAUGAUACUCCUGCCAGCAAGAGAUUCGAUGGCAUGAAGGUGGCAGUGACAGCACUCCUGGGACACGGGAAUUCUCUGCCGAUGGUGUACAGCCCACAUCGGACCAGAGGGCGGUGAAAUGGCAGGAGAGGCACAGCUCGGCAUCACACGUGUUUCUCCUCUACCUGCCUCCAGGAUGCUGGCACGUGGAAGCAACCACAAGGCACAGAAAUUGUAGCAAUGCCUUUGGGGCAGUCAAGACUGAAGUUUGCACCUUGUAAAUCGUGUUGGAUUUUAAGCCCUAGUGAAAUAUUAACAUGAUUGUAAACAAGACUAGCAAGUAUAAGAAAGAAACCCAGCUCAGAAAAUGUAUCAGCAAGAACUUUGAAAUUCAGGUCUAUGCUGAUUAUAGGUCUAAUUAUUAGAAUGAUAUCACUGUGUCAGCGAAAAACAAACCUGCAUCGGUUUGACUUACAUAAAACAGAUCCCUUUGAAGGACCUUUCUGAUAAAUUUGUGAGGUUUUUUGGGUUGAGCCUUGGUUUGAAAAACACAAACACCAUUUAUACAAACUGAAGCAUCAGACACCUUGGAUUGCAUUAGCUACGUGUUAAUUAAAAGGGAUCUCUACACUAUGUUUUAAAAUAUUCUGAUUAUUCUAUUAUUUAAAAACAUAAAUAGCUUGACAUUGCUAUUUCUGACCUUUUGUAUAGUGAUCUAAGCAGGAAUAUUUCCACAGCAGGCAAAGGAAUGAUGCUUAUGAAAACCCAUGUCAAUACACAAGAAUAGAACACAUAAAAUAGAACUACUCUUUAAUUAGGAGAAUGUGGACAUGACCUGAACAUUGUCACUUCCAAUGUAUCUUUUGUUGGACCACCUUUGCAACAAAUAUUUCAUUAGCAACUAUUAUAAAUUUCUCUUUAUUAUUUUUAGUAGUGAAAUAGCAGUUACACAUACUCAGCUUCAUUGUCUACAUGAUGGAUUGGUUGUGCCAUUUUAUUAAAUAAACUAAGGAUUAGCUAUUUCAGCCAGAGGAAAACUUACACCUGUGUAUACAUUGAAAAAAUCUUUGAUUGACUGUAUUUAUGCUUUCUCGCUCUUUGCAACAGAUAUAGAAAUAUCUGCCUGAAGUUAGAUGUGAAUUCAAAACUUGCAGCUUUUCCUAGAAAGACAGUGAAAUUCUUCCACUUCCCUUAUCUCAAUAAAGCUGCUGAAUCUUUCCCGCUCUGCUUAACUGAUAGAAAUAAAUUUCUGUGCAGUUAAAGAUGGGGCCUCUUUCCUGAAAUCAUGCUACAGUUGAUGAGAGGUUUUUUUAUAUAAUAGCCUGCAAUUUCUUUAAGCAAAACUGAUGUAUUUUGUAUUGCUGGGGGCAUGUGUAAUACAUUCAUUUAGAUAAAUGAAUAUUUUGCCUGUACAUCAUGAAAUAGUUAAAUAUCAGUCUGUUGUGGGUUAACCCCAGCCAGCAGCCAAGCCCCAAGCAGAUGAUUCCUCACUUUACCACCAGUGGGAUUGGGAAAACAGACAGAAGGGUAAAAGAUAGAAAACUCACUGAGAUUAAGACAGUUUAACAGGAAAAGCAAAAGCUGCACACACAAGCAAAGAAAGCAAGGAAUGAAUUCACUGCUUCCCAUGGCAGGCAGGUGUUCAGCCAUCUCCAGGAGAGCAGGGCCCCACCACAGGUAACAGUGACCUGGGGAGACAGGUGCCACCACUCCAAAUACCCUUUCCUUCCCCCUUCUUCACCCCACUUUAUAUACUGAGCAUGAUGCCACAGGGUGUGGGAAUGCCCCUUUGGUCAGCUGGGGUCACCCAUCCUGGCAGUUGUAAAUUAGCAUCCUUUGCUAACCUAAAGCUGCUAGAGGACCUGAGGAGCCACUUCCUCAGGGAAUUAUAACCUGAUCAGUCAUGUGCUGUGGAAAUAAAGGAGAUAUUUUAUUUGAAACUUCUUAGCUAUUUGUGCAGCAUAAGUAUGUGCUUGCUCAUUAGCUCCAGAGUGAACUGAAACAGAAAAAAAUAAAUUAGAUAGAUAGUGUGAGAAAGGUAAGAGAAGGGCUGUGGAAGAAACAGCCAGAGAAGCACCAGCAGAAAAAAGUUGCCAAAUGAACAAAUGACAACAUGUAUGGAGUGUACAUAUCAAAGAGAACACAGCCUUUGGACUUACAUAUCUGUAGCUUCCUAGUUAUCUAAGUAUAAUGGGCAUGUUCUAGAUUCUCAUUUGUUGACUCUGCUCAUUUUGUUCCCUUGUGUUUUAAUCUUAUCAAGGCACAACUUAAUUCAGUUAUGUUAGCUGUGAGGAAUGCAAUGAGACAUAACUUUAAUAUGGUAUACUGAAACAUAACCAGUCCCAUGCAAAGUAAGACAUUUAUUCACUUCAUAGGAUCUAUCUUUAUUAACAAUUAUGUAUAAAUGGUAUUGUAGAGAUAAAUUUGGCUUUCUCCCUAGGCCUUGCUGCUCCUAUGGUUAAUGACUGGGGAAAGCUCCACUGAGAGCACACAUCCUUCUUUGUUAUCUCAGUAAAGAAGUGAGCCAACAAUCUGAGUGAGUCAGCAAGGAACAUAAAAAAGCUCUUGGCAAAUAAUAAUAAUAAAAAAGGCAGUUGUACAGUCAUAAUGCUAUUACAAAAAAAAUGUUGGUGUUUCUCUAAGUCUGCCUUUUUCUUACCUAUGUUUGCAGCUAGACUGUGUUCGGUUCAGGGGCAUUUUCUAUUUGCAGAAAUUUCCAGUGAAAGGUAGUUUUUCCAUCUACCCUUUUGUGGUUUUUUGUUGGGUUGGUUUGUUGGUUUUCUUUUGGUUUGGUGGUUUUUUGUUAUUGUUGUUUAGGUUGUUUGGUUGGUUUGGGUUUUUUGUUCGCCGGAUGUUGUGGCCAAUGUCUUUAAUAUUAAAUGAACCUGUGUGACUUAAA